UAGUCAUGGCAGAGACAGUGUAUGCUUCUUUCACCACUUCUUAACCACACGGUGCCAAAAUGGGCAAGCUCACUAUAACUGCAGGUUUCUGUUUGAUCAUCGCCAGCUUGGGUUUACCUGGCCUUGCAAGACAUCUUCCAGUUUACAAAACAACAGCUGGAAACCCCUGUUAUGGAGGACAAAAUGGGCCAUACCCCAACCCACGCGAGAUCCACAUACGUUUUCAACUGUGAUU